GAUGAAGAACGCAGCGAAAUGCGAUACGUAAUGUGAAUUGCAGAAUUCCGUGAAUCAUCGAAUCUUUGAACGCACCUUGCACCCUUUGGCAUUCCGAAGGGUAUGCUCGUUUGAGUGUCAUUGUACUCUCACACUCUCCGAUCCUAUGGAUUCGGGGAGCGGUGGACUUGGGUGUUGCUGCCUUUCCUUGUGGCUCACCUCAAAUGUGUCAGUGCACCUCUUGGUUGGACAUAGUACGGCGUGAUAAGUGUCUUCGCCGGCACCUCGCAAGAGGGCGGCCGAUCGGGAGCUCUGUGCUUUCAAACCGUCUUCGGACAAUUUCUGACAACUUGACCUCAAAUCGAGUAGGACUACCCGCUGAACUUAAGCAUAUCAAUAAGCGGAGGA
rnacentral:misc_RNA from 1 species